UCCAUCCCAGGACCCCAAGAUCAUGACCUGAGCUGAAAUCCAGAGUCAGAUACUCAACCAACUGAGCCAUGCAGGUGCCUCUAUAGCUUUUUGAAUGGGAAUCAUACCCCCACCCAAAAAAGUGAUGUUUUAAAAAAAGCAUGCAUAAUUUUUUACUCUGGUUUUUACUUUUUUUUCUCAAUAAGAAUAUUUACCAAACAAGUAUUAUGCAUGGUGUUCUGUCCUACAUGAUGAAGCUCAUUUCUGUUAACAGAAAGAAGACAGGUCAUGAGGAUUUGGGGAAAAGAGAAAUUGUGCCCAUGGCAGUUGUUUUCAUGGUUUUGAGUUAAAUCAGAGAAAAACCUGAGUGCAGUUGUCCUCAGACACAUGAUCCACUUCUUCCAUCAAAGAGGCUCCCACAGAAAUAAUGAUAUUCAUUAAAGCCUGUUCUGUUUGGCUCUAUUAAGAGUUAAAAACUUGGAGAAGGAGUACAUGCCUGGGAAACUCUGCAGACAAAUUCUUGAGUUGGAAAAUACACCCUACUAAAUUCUUGAAUACAAAAAAUAAUGCUUUAAAUUGUACUUUGGACAUGAUAUGUCCACUUUUUUGGCUCAACAAACAAACCCGAAAUUGUUUUUAGCUUUCUGCUCUGGCAUUCACAAAGUUUUGCCUAAAACCCUUGGAGAAUUGCUGAAAAAGAUUUAUUUAUGUGCAUUCUGAAGAGCAUGCCAAAAUCCUGCUGCUUCAUGUUUUUCAAGAUUCUUCUAAAUUAAAAAGCAAGUGUAGAGCCGGUAAGCUCAGGAUCAGGAGCAAGACCGGAGGCAGUGCCAGAAGCCUGGGAUGUUUUUCUUAUUACAAAGGGUGAUGUCAAAAGGUCGAUUUGGGGAUGAAGAUGGAAACCAGCACCUGCACCCCCGCGUGGAAUAUGAGGGACAAAUGCAACAGCAGGAAGAGGCAGUUCUCAAAACCACUGGCUCCUGGAAACCCUCCUCUGUCCUGGCUCUGGUGGCUCUGGUGGCUCCAGGCCUGUGUGGCUCUGGGUGCACGGGGUGGCCCCCUCUCUGCCCUCCUCGGGGCCUCUGCUUUGCCCUCCCAGGGGCUCCCCCUGAACAUGGGUCCCUGGCUAGCACCUGGAGCCCGGCAUCCUCCAGGAGGAGCUGUCCUCGCUCACGGUUCCAGUUGUCACCUGAAUGCAGAGGACGUCGGGGACAGUGCUGCCGGCCCAACAGCCCUCCAACUCCACUGUGUGUGCGUGGGGCUGCAUUUGUCUACCUGCAGGUCAGACUGUCACCUGGAUCGGCACCUCCCACACAUUAGCCCUCAUGUCCCUCCAGGUAGGCCGGUUCCAGCUCUGGCAGCGACGCCCUUUAUAUCCAGGCACCUACGUUGGGGUCUUUGGAGUCCAGGGGCUCCUCCCCUCGGCCUACUUGUCCAGUGCGGAACUCCAGCACCAGUCCCCUCCCCUCCCAUCACUGGCAACCCAGGCUGAAAUUAUGACAAGGCUGUCACAGCUGGUUCCCCCAAUCCACCCCAAACUUCCUUCUCUUUCAUUCAUCUGCUUCACCUUUGAUUAAUUGUGCUAAAAUAUUAGCACAAUAUAUUGUGCUAAAUUUCUUAAAUUUAAGAAAUAAAUUUCUUAAUAAAUUGCUUAAAUUUCUCUCUCUCUCUCUCUUUUAGAACUCCUGAUUAACUUAAAAUAUAACUAAAAACCCUUGGUCUCUAAUGCAUGGCUCUUCACAGUAGCACAAUG